UGCAAGUCGAACGAUGAUAGAGAGCUUGCUUUUCUUGAUUAGUGGCGCACGGGUGAGUAAUGCAUAGAUAAUGUGCCCCUUAGUUCGGGAUAGCCACUGGAAACGGUGAUUAAUACCGGAUACUCCUUCUUGUUAUAAGACAAGUCGGGAAAGUUUUUCGCUAAGGGAUCAGUCCAUGUUCCAUCAGCUUGUUGGUGAGGUAAUGGCUCACCAAGGCUAUGACGGAUAUCUGGUUUGAGAGGAUGAUCAGACACACUGGAACUGAGACACGGUCCAGACUCCUACGGGAGGCAGCAGUGAGGAAUAUUGCACAAUGGAGGAAACUCUGAUGCAGCAACGCCGCGUGGAGGAUGACGCAUUUCGGUGUGUAAACUCCUUUUAUUAGGGAAGAUAAUGACGGUACCUAAUGAAUAAGCACCGGCUAACUCCGUGCCAGCAGCCGCGGUAAUACGGAGGGUGCAAGCGUUACUCGGAAUCACUGGGCGUAAAGGGUGCGUAGGCUGGCUUUUAAGUCAGAUGUGAAAUCCAAUGGCUCAACCAUUGAACUGCAUUUGAAACUGAAAGCCUAGAGUUCAGAAGGGGCAGAUGGAAUUAGUGGUGUAGGGGUAAAAUCCGUAGAUAUCACUAGGAAUAUCAAAAGCGAAGGCGAUCUGCUGGGA
rnacentral:rRNA from 1 species